rnacentral:rRNA from 1 species
GUCUACAGUCAUGCCACCCUGAAUGUGCCUGAUACCGUCUGAUCUCAGAAGCUAGGCAGCUCGGGCCUGGUUAGUACUUGGAUGGGAGACCACCUAGGAGGACCAGGAGCUGUAGACG